rnacentral:rRNA from 1 species
UGGGGAAUAUUGGACAAUGGGCGCAAGCCUGAUCCAGCCAUGCCGCGUGAGUGAUGAAGGCCCUAGGGUUGUAAAGCUCUUUCACCGGUGAAGAUAAUGACGGUAACCGGAGAAGAAGCCCCGGCUAACUUCGUGCCAGCAGCCGCGGUAAUACGAAGGGGGCUAGCGUUGUUCGGAUUUACUGGGCGUAAAGCGCACGUAGGCGGACUAUUAAGUCAGGGGUGAAAUCACGGGGCUCAACCCCGGAACUACCUUUGAUACUGGUAGUCUUGAGUACGAGAGAGGUGAGUGGAAUUCCGAGUGUAGAGGUGAAAUUCGUAGAUAAUCGGAGGAACACCAGUGGCGAAGGCGGCUCACUGGCUGGAUACUAACGCUGAGGUGCGAAAGCGUGGGGAGCAAACAGG